rnacentral:rRNA from 1 species
GAAUAUUGGACAAUGGGCGCAAGCCUGACCCAGCCAUGCCGCGUGAGUGAUGAAGGCCCUAGGGUUGUAAAGCUCUUUCACCGGUGAAGAUAAUGACGGUAACCGGAGAAGAAGCCCCGGCUAACUUCGUGCCAGCAGCCGCGGUAAUACGAAGGGGGCUAGCGUUGUUCGGAAUUACUGGGCGUAAAGCGAACGUAGGCGGAUACUUAAGUUAGGGGUGAAAUCCCAGAGCUCAACUCUGGAACUGCCUUUAAUACUGGGUAUCUCGAGUCCGAGAGAGGUGAGUGGAAUUCCGAGUGUAGAGGUGAAAUUCGUAGAUAUUCGGAGGAACACCAGUGGCGAAGGCGGCUCACUGGCUCGGUACUGACGCUGAGGUGCGAAAGCGUGGGGAGCAAACAGG